rnacentral:rRNA from 1 species
GAUGAACGCUGGCUACAGGCUUAACACAUGCAAGUCGAGGGGAAACGACGGGUUAGCUUGCUUCCCCGGGCGUCGACCGGCGCACGGGUGAGUAACGCGUAUCCAACCUGCCUCUGACUGAGGGCUAACCCGUCGAAAGUCGGCCUAAUACCUCAUGGCAUCGUCUGCGGGCAUCCAACGACUAUUAAAGAUUUCAUCGGUCAUAGAUGGGGAUGCGUUUGAUUAGCUUGUUGGCGGUGUAACGGCCCACCAAGGCGACGAUCAGUAGGGGUUCUGAGGGGAAGGUCCCCCACAUUGGAACUGAGACCCGGUCCAAACGGCUACGGGAGGGAGUAGUAAGGAAUAGAGGUGAAGGGGCGAGAGCCUGAACCAGCCAAGUAGCGUGCAGGAUGACGGCGCUAUGGGUUGUAAACUGCUUUUAUGCGGGGAUAAAGUGAGGGACGUGUCCUUCAUUGAAGGUACCGGAUGAAUAAGGACCGGCUAAUUCCGUG